rnacentral:lncRNA from 1 species
UUAUUAACCAUUAAUUUUUGUUUUGAUCCUGCGGCUAUAAUGAACUAAAAUCGCAAGGCGAGAUCUAAAAACAUUAAAAGACACGGUGCAUGCAGCUUUGAGGAACUCUACACGUGAAAUGAAUACUACCAAUAUAAGUUGUAGCGGUCUAAUCUCCACACCUUUAGCAACCUAACCCGACACAAACAUCAAUGUCGAGAAUUUUAGUUAGUUAUUGUUGAACAUGACCCGUGUAAACAUGUAACAAAAGGCUAACCGAAGGAAAACCUAGUUCUCACAACCCAAAACUAACAUGAGAAGCCAAUGGAACAACUAAAAGUGGACUUAAAACUUGAGAGAAAGGAAAUCAAACUUACAUCAUAUGGAACAUUUAGCUAAUCCAAAUAUUUGAAAAUAAAUUUACUUAAUACAAAAAUUUUAUGAAUAUCAUGAACUAAAUAAAUAUGCAUUAUACAUAGAAUAAUACUCGUAAAUCAUAACCACAUUCCGUAUAACCAUAUUACAAGAAACAAAUUUGUUUUCAAAAGUUACAAAUAUGCACAAUUAGUUGGAAGGAAUAGGUUAUGUAAACGAUCCCUGUAAUUUAGCGCAUUUUAUGUUUUCGUCCCUGUUAGUUUUUUUGUUCUAAAACAACCUUUGUAUUUUCGAUUCCUUUUGGAAAUCGUCUCUGCCGUCAAGUUCCAUCAACAAAAACGCUUUGGUGGUACCAGAGGCACGCGUGGCAGGUUAUGAGUUGGCAAAAUUUGUUGAGAUGAUAAGUAAUGUUAGUACAGGGACUAAAACCAAAAAACACAAAUUUACAUAGGGAUGAAGUUAAAAAAGGUAAACAUCAAAUUUUGAUUUUUAAAAACCAAACUUUUCAUCUUCUUCCUGUCACUGUUCUUUGUUUCUUCCUCUCAAACUUUCCCCACUCCCAUAACAAUUACAUCAUUUUUCCCUUCGAACCAAAUAAAUCCAUUCAUCAAAAGUUGUUGCCUUACAUAAUGAUUUUUGACCAUUGACAUUUUAAUGGUUCAAUAGAGAUAAAAUACUUAAACAAAAAUCCUAAUUUAAAGACUUAAACAACGAGAAGGUCAUAUCCAUAACAUAAACAAAAUUAAAAAGGUAAUAGCUCUGACAUAACAUAAUAAUUAAAAAGAAACAUCAUUUGACCUAAAAAAAGCCAUCAAAAUAUCAUACAAAUUCCCCCCUUUGGAACAUCAAACUCAUAAGGAAUCAAGCACCAUCAGCAGAGGUUGGAAGUGCGUUGUAACCAAAAACAAAAGGAGGUGGAUCAAUACCAGUUUUGACACAUAACUCUUCUACAAUCCAUUUUCACAAAUUUACACUAUCAAGCAUGAGAUAGUAGUUCAUGGAUUGAAUUGUUUGCAAAGGUAAAAUCUAUUUUAUGCAUAAUUAUUAUGUUUUAUUUCUGUAAUUUAUAUAAUUUAACAUGUACUAAUUAAAUGAUUUGGAUUUUCUUAUGAUAUGUUGUUAUUGUUUUAGAAUCAAGCUCAACCAUUACCUCAGCUAUAUACAUUUUGUUGAGAUUGAUCACGCUGCUGCUGCAUAUUUAUGGAUAAGUUUAAGCUCAUGAUAAGAGUGGGUUAUUUGUCUCUUGAAGGGAAUGUGUUUCCCUUUACAUCAAUGGUGGGAGACUAGUGUUUUAAAUCAUGAUCGAAUUACUAUAAAGAACACCAUUCUGAAGCGUUUUCAACCCACUAUAUAAGCUUUGUUCUUAAUAUAAAUCAAUAACGAAGCUCAUAUGCAAAAAGUUGUUCAAGGUAUUGGAUGGAACAUUGAAUAUCAUGGAUCAAGAGCACAUAGAUAAUAAUACCAUAACAUUCAGGUUAAAUUUAAAAUGGUAACAUAUUGAAUAUUUGUUGUUAUUGUUAUGGGAGAUUGGGGAAAGUUUGAGAGGAAGAAGAAACAAAGAAUAGUGAGAGGAAGAAGAUGGACAGUUUGGUUUUUAAAAUUCAAAAUUUGAUUUUUACGUUUUUUAAUUUCAUCCCUAUGUAAAUUUGCAUUUUUGGUUUUACCCAAGCAAACAUAAGCCUUCUCCAAUGCUGCCCUUGCCCCUCAACCCGCCGAUCUUAUCUCCUCGCCUCUGCGACCGUAACACCGUUAUCAACACAUAAAUAAAAAAGUCACCUAAAUAUAUAUCUUUAGGGCCCUCCAUCUUGCCAAUAAUCACAAAAAAAAAUGUGUUCUCGCUAUCUCCAAAAAUGCGACCCACCUAUUAUUUAAAUCAACUCGCCUCACUGCCAUCCACUCCCUCGCUAAUAACACAUAAACCCUUCCACCACUGUCUUCAACUAAUAUUUAGCAAACAAGAUUUUAAACCACAACUCUUCCUAAUCAACAUACAACCUCCAACCCAAUUUUUCCAAUAAUUCCGUAUUAAAUUUGAUAAGCGAGCAGUGAAUUAUCAGAGUUUCUUAUUGAAAUAUACUCAAUAAGGACUAAUAAAUUUCCAAUUUACAUUUUUUUAAUAUACACAAUUUUAACUUUAUAUAUGUUAAUUUUUAUUAUAUAAAGAAUUUUUUUCCUUCAUAAUAUAAUUGUACUUUUUUUGACAAAAAAAUAUUACAGAUGUAUUUAUAUAUGCCUAAAAAUUGUUUUAUAUAAUUUUUUGGUCAAGUAGCAUAGUUGAUAGAGCUCACACAAUUAUAUUGUGGAGAAGUGAAGUGUCCGGGGUUCAAACUCCAAUCCCUGCAUAUAUUAUGCAAUAUCCCUACUAACUGAGCCAAGCUCACGAUGAUAGAAAUUGUUUUAUAUUGAUGUCAAUUAUCUCCUGAGUGUUCCAAUAUAUAUAUAUAUAUAUAUAUAUAUAUAUAUAUAUAUAUAUGGGGGCAUGUCAUAUGAGAAUGACAGUUAUAUAUGAGAAUGGUGAGAAUGAAUUGUAGCCAUUAGAUUAAAAGCAAGGGAUAAGAUUAAAACACAAUGUAAGUUAGUCAUAUGCUAAGCCAAUCAUGUGAUCACUCUCUGACUACUUCUCAUUUCACCACUGUCUCCUUCUAUCCUUUCACCCCCACUCCCCACCAUCUCUUCCGACGAACCACCACGUCUACCGGCGAACCACCACCAUCUUUGAGAACCACCACCAUGUCUUCGCUCAGUCAAGCAUACUUCUUCCCUUCCACCACCAGUUCCGGUGACCGCAACCUUUCCACCACCAAGGGUCACCGUCGCUCUAUUCCCCUCACGUUUCUUCAAUUAUCUCAUAUUUAUAACCAUUUUUUAAUUCUCUCGAUCCUGAUCUUAUGUUCCAAAUUCAAAUAAAUCUUUUUAAUUCAAUUUAAACACCCUUAUAUAAAAAAUCUUUUUCCAGUUUUCAAUCAACAAAAAACCGUCGACAACCGUGUUGCACGCCCGGUGACGACCCUAUCUGAGAUGCUCGCAUUGAGAGAGAUGCAGAAGUGGUGGAAGGAUGGGUCAAACAACCCAUGAUCACACCGGCGAACGAGAACAACAGGAGGGGGAGGAUGAUGAACGUGCAGCGGUUUCCACUGCAACCGCUGCCAACACCAAUUGUUUUUUCUGGUUCUUAUAGCUUAUUGUUGGAACACUAGUGUAUAAUGAAAAAAAACUUGGAGUAUACUAGUGAGUUUGUGGAGCCUUUGGAAUGUAAACACAAGGAUGGAGAAACUAGUGUAAAGUGUGAAUUGAAAAUUUUAUGUCCCACAUCGGGUAGAUCACACACUCUAGUAGAAAUCCUCCUUAUAAAUUGAGAGCCCGGGAAUAGUAUUCUUCACUCCAAAACUGAGAAUCGAAUACUCUUCUCUGGUUUUCUCUCCUCUCUUCUCCCUCCCGGUUUGUGUUGACGAACCGUUAUUUCUUUCCUCCUUCUUUGGUUUAUCGAGUGGUCUACGUACCAUAUUAGAGUGGUUUUUCGAAACUUUUCGAAAACCAUAUUGAGGUGUUAUUCUCGAGCGAUUUCUGGCAGUGCAGCCUUUAAUCGUACAGUUAGAAUCUGGGCUGUUUUAUCCUGGAGACGGCGCGGUUGCUAGUCUACCUUGCACAACUUAGGUAGUGCCGCGAAACGUCUUAAAGAAAGCGACCUGGUCGUGACUCACCCCGGUAAUAGUUUCAAAGCUCUGUCGUAAUUUUCAAAUUACAAAAACAACAUUUUUAAGACGUUUCGAAUACGAUACGAUGAGUUUUGAAAAAAUUACCGCGGUUUCAGCUGAUGACUUUAACAAACCGUUUCUGUUUACGGGUAGCCACUUCAAACGUUGGCAGCAAAAGAUGCUGUUCUUCUUGACCACUAAAAAGGUUGCCUACGUUUUGAAGGAAGCUAUGCCUGUAGCACCUACGAGUUCGACUCCUGCUGGAGCGAAUAAUAACGGUAAGGCAGCAGACCCUACUGCUGCUAAGAAAGCUGAACCUGAGAAAGCUGACCCAGAUAAACAGCUAGCCAUAGAUAUUGCUCUAUGGAAGGAAAAUGACUACCUCUGUAAGAAUUAUAUUCUUAAUAGACUCACAGACCCUCUGUAUGAUUAUUAUAGACUCUGUGAUACUGCUAAACAAUUAUGGGAAGCACUUCAGAAGAAGUAUGAUACUGAAGAGGCUGGUGUUAAGAAAUACGCCGUAAGCCGCUAUCUGAAUUUCAAAAUGAGUGAUGAUAAGUCCGUUGAGGCACAAUCACAUGAGCUGCAACAAAUUGCUCACGAGAUCAUAGCUGAAGGGAUGACACUUCCCGAACAGUUCCAAAUAGCUGUGAUUAUUGAUAAGCUGCCUCCUGCCUGGAAGGACUUCAAGAGUCUUCUUAGACACAAAACUAAGGAGUUCUCUCUUAAAAGUCUGAUUACUCGCCUUCGUAUUGAAGAAGAAGCGAGAAAGCAGGACCAGAAUGAAGAGGUGUUUGCUGUUUCUAACAACAACACUAAAAAGAAAUUUGUAGGUGUUGUUCUGAAGCCUACUGGCAAACCAUUUAAGAAUCAAAACCGCCCUAUGAAUAAGAAUUCCAACAUGAAUAAGACUGGGAACAAUCCAAGACCCCAGAUUCAACAGCCACCAAAGAAUGAUGUUGCUCCACCUUUCAACUGUUACAAUUGUGGGCAAGCAGGUCAUAUGGCACGCAAGUGCAGAAACAGAACCAACCGACCAGCACAGGCUCACAUGGCUACUGCUGCUGCACCUGAUGAGCCCUACGUGGCUAUGAUUACUGAGAUUAAUAUGAUUGCAGGUUCUGAUGGCUGGUGGGUAGACACUGGUGCUUCUCGCCAUGUCUGCUAUGAUAGAGAUAUGUUCAAAACAUAUACUGCUUGUGAUGAUCAGAAGGUGUUGUUGGGAGACUCCCACUCCACUGAUGUUGCUGGAAUCGGAGAUAUAGAGCUGAAGUUCACCUCUGGAAAGACUCUGAUACUGAAGGAUGUGCUGCACACUCCUAAAAUUAGGAAGAAUUUAGUUUCAGGUUUUCUUUUGAAUAAGGUUGGGUUUACUCAAAGCAUAGGGGCUGAUUUGUACACCAUCACUAAGAAUGAUAAUUUUGUUGGGAAAGGGUACGCCACUGAUGGUAUGUUUAAGUUGAACAUUGAUUUGAAUAAAAUUUCUUCUUCUGCUUAUAUAUUGUGUGAUUUUAAUAUUUGGCAUUCUAGACUCUGUCACGUUAACAAAAGAAUUAUUUCAAAUAUGAGCGGUUUAGGAUUAAUUCCUAAAAUAUCUUUAAACGAUUUUGAAAAAUGUCAAUUUUGUAGUCAAGCAAAAAUAAAUAAAGAAUCACAUAAAUCGGUAACCAGGAUAACUGAACCUUUCGAAUUAAUUCAUUCUGAUUUAUGCGAAUUAGAUGGAAACUUGACUAGAAAUGGAAAAAGAUAUUUCAUCACUUUUAUAGAUGACUGCUCGGAUUACACACAUGUGUAUUUAAUGAGAAAUAAAAAUGAAGCGCUUGAAAUAUUUAAACAGUAUGUAAAAGAAAUUGAAAAUCAAUUCAAUAUUAGAAUCAAGCGUUUUAGAAGUGACAGAGGUACUGAAUAUGGAUCACAUACAUUCAAUGAGUAUUAUAAAGAACUCGGAAUUAUUCAUGAAACAACUGCUCCUUAUUCUCCUGAAAUGAACGGUAAAGCAGAAAGAAAAAAUAGAACGUUUACCGAAUUAGUAGUUGCAACAAUGCUUAAUUCCGAAGCAGCGCCUCAUUGGUGGGGAGAAAUUUUAUUGACUGUUUGCUAUGUGCUAAACAGAGUACCCAAAACAAAGAACAAAAUUUCUCCAUAUGAAAUUUUGAAGAAAAGACAACCAAACUUGUCUUAUUUUAGAACAUGGGGCUGCCCAGCCUAUGUAAGAAAACCAGACCCCAAAAGAGUCAAACUAGCAAGUAGAGCCUAUGAAUGUGUAUUCAUUGGGUAUGCCUUAAAUAGUAAAGCCUAUAGGUUUUACGACCUGAAAUCUAAAACGAUCAUAGAAUCAAAUGAUGUUGACUUCUAUGAAAAUAAAUUUCCCUUUAAGUCAGGAGACAGUGGGGGUAAUAGUGGGGGCACCGAUAACUCAGUUCUUGAUCAACCUUCUGAAAUCAUAACAAGCAAUGAAAACAUCGAAAGAGAUGUUAUAGAACCUCGUAGAGGUAAGAGAGCAAGAAUUGCUAAAGAAUAUGGCCCCGAAUAUGUGGCGUAUACUAUAGAGGAGGAUCCAUCAAGCAUCAAGGAAGCUCUGUCUUCAAUUGACGCUGAUUUAUGGCAAGAAGCUAUAAAUGAUGAAAUGGAUUCUCUAAUGUCCAACGAAACCUGGCACCUAACUGACUUGUCUCCUGGAUGCAAGACUAUAGGUUGUAAAUGGAUCUUGAAAAAGAAACUAAAACCUGAUGGGUCAAUCGACAAAUACAAGGCACGCCUUGUAGCCAAAGGUUUUAGACAAAGAGAAAAUGUAGAUUUCUUUGACACAUAUUCGCUUGUAACUAGAAUCACGUCCAUUAGGGUACUAAUCUCUUUGGCGGCCAUCCACAAUUUGAUAGUACACCAAAUGGAUGUAAAAACUGCUUUUUUAAACGGUGAAUUAGAAGAAGAAAUCUACAUGGACCAACCUGAAGGUUUCGUAAUCCAUGGACAAGAGAACAAAGUUUGUAAGUUAGACAAAUCUUUGUAUGGUCUAAAACAAGCACCGAAACAAUGGCAUGAGAAAUUCGACAAUCUUAUGAUUGAGAAUGAGUUUAAGGUGAAUGAAAGUGACAAGUGUAUUUAUUCCACGUACGAAAAUAACACUUGCACGAUCAUAUGUCUAUACGUAGACGACUUACUCAUAUUUGGUUCAAACCUUAAUGCCACUAAAGAUGUGAAAUCAUUGUUGUGCCACAACUUUGAUAUGAAAGACCUAGGAGAAGCAGAUGUAAUUCUUGGAAUCAAGAUUACUAGAACUGAUAAUGGAAUUUCCUUGAAUCAAUCUCACUACGUUGAGAAGAUCUUAAGGAAAUAUAAUUACUUCAAUUGUAAACCUGCGAGCACACCUUGUGACCCAAGUGUGAAGCUAUUUAAGAACACUGGAGAUAGUGUUAGACAAACUGAAUAUGCGAGCAUCAUUGACAGUCUCAGAUAUGCCACUGAUUGUACUAGACCUGACAUCGGCUACGCCGUGGGACUAUUAUGCAAGUUUACGAGCAGGCCAAGCAUGGAGCAUUGGCAAGCUAUCGAAAGAGUCAUGAGAUACUUGAAGAAGACCAUGACUCUAGGACUGCAUUAUUAGAGAUAUCCUGCAGUGCUUGAAGGAUACAGUGACGCAGAUUGGAACACCUUAUCAGAUGAUUCCAAAGCGACCAGUGGCUAUAUAUUUAGCAUUGCCGGAGGAGCUGUUUCCUGGAAAUCCAAGACACAGACCAUUCUGGCUCAGUCCACAAUGGAAUCUGAGAUGAUAGCACUGGCUGCUGCUAGUGAAGAAGCAAGUUGGCUAAGAUGCUUGCUAUCUGAAAUCCCUUUAUGGGAGAGACCGUUACCAGCUGUGUUAAUUCAUUGUGAUAGUACCGUGGCUAUCGCAAAGGUUGAUAAUCGUUAUUACAAUGGUAAGAGACGAUAAAUAAGACGAAAACACAGCACGAUAAGAGAAUAUCUUUCGAACGGAACAGUAAGAGUAGAUUUCGUACGAACAAAUGAAAACUUAGUUGAUCCUUUGACGAAAGGACUAAACAGAGAGAAAGUCACAAAUACAUCCAGUAGGAUGAGACUAAUGCCUAUUGAUCAUAAGUGAUGGAAACCCGGCCUAAAUGACUGGAGAUUCCAAGAACUAGGUUCAAUGGGUAAUAACAAAUCACAAGUGAUAGAACAUGCUAUGAGAACGCAUGAUCCUACAGUGACCGAAGGUUGAGAUAAUAGAAACUCUUAAUGAGAUCUAUACUUCUUAUGGAGUGAAGUACAUAGCUACAGGAGUACUUCUGAUAGACUCACCUAUACGUAUGUAGAACUGAGGCCGGUUCUUAUGGAAUUUCGAGGCAGAAUUCCUAGAGCAUUCGUUAAAACUGGGAUAGACGUGCAAGGCCAUUAACGCACGGGCUUUUUAGAAAACACCUAAGAAAAGGUUGUGUGUGGGUCCUAUGUCUGAGAUAGAGUUCAAUGUUGUAAGCAACUCUUGUUAAUCAGAAUACUACUCACUAUGCAAAGGUUCAAGUUGUUGGCGACACCUUUGUUUACUAGCAAUCUUUAAGAAACGUUUAAAACGUAACUUUCGAAACCAAUUUUGAAUUCAAGUGGGGGAUUGUUGGAACACUAGUGUAUAAUGAAAAAAAACUUGGAGUAUACUAGUGAGUUUGUGGAGCCUUUGGAAUGUAAACACAAGGAUGGAGAAACUAGUGUAAAGUGUGAAUUGAAAAUUUUAUGUCCCACAUCGGGUAGAUCACACACUCUAGUAUAAAUCCUCCUUAUAAAUUGAGAGCUCGGGAAUAGUAUUCUUCACUCCAAAACUGAGAAUCGAAUACUCUUCUCUGGUUUUCUCUCCUCUCUUCUCCCUCCCGCGGUUUGUGUUGACGAACCGUUUUUUCUUUCCUCCUUCUUUGGUUUAUCGAGUGGUCUAUGUACCAUAUUAGAGUGGUUUUUCGAAACUUUUCGAAAACCAUAUUGAGGUGUUAUUCUCGAGCGAUUUCUGGCAGUGCAGCCUUUAAUCGUACAGUUAGAAUCUGGGCUGUUUUAUCCUGGAAACGGCGCGGUUGCUAGUCUACCUUGCACAACUUAGGUAGUGCCGCGAAACGUCUUAAAGAAAGCGACCUGGUCGUGACUCACCCCGGUAAUAGUUUCAAAGCUCUGUCGUAAUUUUCAAAUUACAAAAACAACACUUAUGAUGGAAAACAAUUAAAUUGAUAAUAGUAAAUUAAAAUUCAUAAAUCACCACAAUGACAAUAGUGGUUUUGGCUCAAGAAAUUUUAGAAAUAAGAAUGUAUACAGGGAGUGAGAUGGAGAAGAAAGAGAUUUCGUAACUCAGAAAUAAGAAAACACAAGUCACGUGAUACCUUUAUUGCGACUUUCUAAUCUCUGCCAUCAAUUACAAAUCUAAAAGCCCACAAUCAUUCCUAUCAUUUUCAUAUAUAAUUGUUAUUCUCAUUCUCAUAUGAUAUGUCUAUAUAUUAUGAGAAGUGUGUUCCAAUUUUAAACCAUAUAUAGUAAAUACUAAAACACU